rnacentral:snRNA from 1 species
AACUUUGCGCAGUAGCAGUAUCGUAGCCAAUGAGGUUAAUGCGAGGAGCGAUUAUUGCUAAUUGAAAACAGUGUUAAACCCACUUUUUGUUAUUUUGUACUGAGG